AAGCCCGGAACUAGCUGGCCCAUCUUGAUAUUUUCGGCAGCGCAGGCCCCCGUCUGUCAGGCCCAACCACCGCACGGCCGGUCCGGCGCUACCCCCUCCGCCCUCUCGUCGGCGACGCGGCCCCGCCGGCAGAAGACCGCGGCGCAGCUUCCCGUCCGCUCCCCGCUCGCCGCCCGACUAGUGGCAGGCAGCGCAAGGGUGAAAGUAGGUCCAAGAAGAGGGCAAUGCACAUACAACUAUCCUGAACAUCACUAACUUGUUGUUGCAAUGUAUUUGAACUAAACAUUCUUACCACCAGAUUUCCUAUGUAAGUACCUGAGUGCUCGUCACAUAUCUGUGUUGGGCAAAUAUUCAUUGAUAAAUUUGAUAUUGACAUGCAUUGCUGAAUUUAGUUUCUCUGCAAAGAUGGAUAAUAAGAUGAUGGAGGGCAUUACUUGGGAGUGAAA